CCUACGGUGGGCAGCAGUGAGGAAUAUUGGUCAAUGGGCGCAAGCCUGAACCAGCCAAGUCGCGUGAAGGAUGACUGUCCCACGGGUUGUAAACUUCUUUUAUCAAGGGAUAAAGUGAGGCACGUGUGCCUUUUUGUAUGUACUUUAUGAAUAAGGAUCGGCUAACUCCGUGCCAGCAGCCGCGGUAAUACGGAGGAUCCGAGCGUUAUCCGGAUUUAUUGGGUUUAAAGGGAGCGUAGGUGGGUUGUUAAGUCAGUUGUGAAAGUUUGCGGCUCAACCGUGAAAUUGCCAUUGAUACUGGCAGUCUUGAGUAUAGUUGAGGUAUGCGGAAUGCGUGGUGUAGCGGUGAAAUGCUUAGAUAUCACGAAGAACUCCGAUUGCGAAGGCAGCUUACUAACCUGCCACUGACAUUGAUGCUCGAAAGCGUGGGUAUCAAACAGGAUUAGAUACCCCUGUAGUC
rnacentral:rRNA from 1 species